AAAUAAGAAGUAAUAAUUACAUUUAGUUUCGACCUAAAAAUUGGUUUUUAACCCUUAUUUA
rnacentral:tRNA from 1 species